CAGUAGCCGCGGGAAUACGGAGGGGGCUAGCGUUGUUCGGAAUUACUGGGCGUAAAGCGCACGUAGGCGGCUUGGUAAGUUAGAGGUGAAAGCCCGGAGCUCAACUCCGGAAUUGCCUUUAAGACUGCCGAGCUAGUAGGUGAGAGAGGUAAGUGGAAUUCCGAGUGUAGAGGUGAAAUUCGUAGAUAUUCGGAAGAACACCAGUGGCGAAGGCGGCUUACUGGCUCAUUCUAGACGCUGAGGUGCGAAAGCGUGGGGAGCAAACAGGAUUAGAUACCCCAGUAGUCCCUGUCUCUUAUAC
rnacentral:rRNA from 1 species